rnacentral:rRNA from 1 species
GAUGAACGCUGGCGGCGUGCCUAAUACAUGCAAGUCGAGCGAACAGACGAGGAGCUUGCUCCUCUGACGUUAGCGGCGGACGGGUGAGUAACACGUGGAUAACCUACCUAUAAGACUGGGAUAACUUCGGGAAACCGGAGCUAAUACCGGAUAAUAUAUUGAACCGCAUGGUUCAAUAGUGAAAGACGGUUUUGCUGUCACUUAUAGAUGGAUCCGCGCCGCAUUAGCUAGCUGGUAAGGUAACGGCUUACCAAGGCGACGAUGCGUAGCCGACCUGAGAGGGUGAUCGGCCACACUGGAACUGAGACACGGUCCAGACUCCUACGGGAGGCAGCAGUAGGGAAUCUUCCGCAAAGGGCGAAAGCCUGACGGAGCAACGCCGCGUGAGUGAUGAAGGUCUUCGGAUCGUAAAACUCUGUUAUUAGGGAAGAACAAAUGUGUAAGUAACUAUGCACGUCUUGACGGUACCUAAUCAGAAAGCCACGGCUAACUACGUG